ensembl:lncRNA
GUAAUGAGUGUAUGGGCCAUGGUGACGAGUGUGUGGGGCGUGGUGACGAGUGUGUGGGGCGUGGUGACGAGUGUAUGCGCCGUGCUGACUAGUGUAUGGGCCGUGGUGAUGUUUAUGGGGCGUGGUGACAAGUUGUAUAGGCGUGGUGAUGAGUGUAUGCUCCGUGGUGACGAGUGUAUGGGUAUGUAUAUGGGUGAUGAGUGUUUGGGAUGUAUCCGGGUCAGGGUCGCCCCCCCCCCCCAGUUAAAUGGAGAAAAUCUUUCGUUUGUUGAUCCAAACAAUGCUCGAGUUCCUUUGUGUCUGUGAUCGAUUGUGUUUAGAUAUAUUUAGAUAAAGUGCUGAAACAAAAAGGCUCCGUCUCAUCUUUGUGGAUAGAACAGACCCACCCUUUCUGUUUUAUAAAGAACUGCAGAGAAAAUCCGCAUCGUGUCUGAAAAGCAGGGCUUGUUUUAUCUGCUUAAUUUGCACCAAUUUUAGUUUAAUCGUGUUUAAGGGCUAAAUGAAACCUCGCAGUCGCCCACUCCUAACUUUAUUCUUGCAAAACAACAACAAAAAGCAUAUAAGAUUAAUCUUUGCUGCUCCACAACAUCGCAUGGAGCUCUCAGAGUAUGUGUUGCUGAAGAAGGCAUUUAGUUCAUUAGUGUAAAAUAAUUAGAUGGCUCAUAAGGACUCGUACUGUAUGUGACUCAGCACUUAACAGCAAUUAGAUAUUUAUGUAGACUCUAGAUAUUUCUACGUUUUUUCUCAUGUGUUUUUGAAGGUUUGUUUCAUUUCCUGCCCGACACUCUCCUGACCUCGAUCUGCCGUCACGAGAGACAGAAAUGUGACUGCGAAGGGAAAAUGAGACGUGUUUUUUCAUUUUACUCUUCACCACAACUCACCCCGCUCCCCCUCCAUCCAAACCCUUGAUUUUCUUGGCAGUUACGACUUUGUGACCCUGAAACGUACCGUUUUAUACACACCGUUUCACUCCACACACUGCAACGCCUGCUCUUUUCCACCUGGAUAUUACACAACAUGUUCACUUCACUUCUUCUCUUAUAAGGUUGUUAAAUGGCACCGGGGGGAGGCGGCGAGACAAACAUUAAAUCAGAAAUACGGUGGAAAUGAAGGAUUCAAGUAAAAUUAAACGUCGGUAUGAUUUGCGUGUUUUCCUCCUCUUACACGGUCACGAGGUGGUGGGGGUAUUUUGUGUCCGCGCGUCACUUUGAGAUUCUCGUAAGUGGAGAAUCUCCAUGACGAUUGGUUGAAUGUUUGUAGGAUAUUUAUAUGGAAUUAACAUUGUAACCAGCCGAUUAGAGACUGAUUAAAUCAAGGUCACUGCAAGGUCAAAUUCCAUACGCUUCCUUCCUGUUUGAUGUGUGUUUUAUGAUGGUUAACGACAAGAAGCACCAUGGCGGGGACAUCGGGUUCUACUUGCGUGUUCGCACUUUAACCGAGGUACGUGUUUGAUUUUGAAAUCGGCGUAUAUGUACAGUAAAGUGCAGAUUUGUUUGUAUUUAGUAAACAAAAGUCGCCCUCUUCCGCAUGCAUGACCUCACAGACUCUCAUGAUUGGCUCAGUGAGGAGAGAGAGAUUCACAGUCGUAUGUGUUGAGCACGGUCUCAUAGUGCUGGGCGAUAAAUCAAUAUAAUAUCGUGAUCAGGAUUACGUGAUACACCC